CAGAUCCAUGGGGGGGGGGGUCCUGGUUUAAGCCUCGCCCCUUAUCUUUCCCAGAUAAAAGCCACAGCAUCCGUUCCUAUAGUAAUCUUCGUGAUGCGCUGUACCUGCAUCUCACAAAAGCAACAAGCCAGAGAACUGAAAAAGAAGAUAAAGGCAAAAUUGGCUAGUCAACUUAUUCAAAGAUAGGAGAAUCUGUAAGACGACUGUUUUUGUUCUACCGUAUUAAAUACUUCAAGAUCACCAAUCUUUGCUGCAACAAUUUCAUAUGCAUUUCCUUGUUUAUUCUUGAUUUUAUAACGAGUUUUAUAGACUUGAGUUUAUACCUGAUACAAAUUUGUUGGGCCUAGAGUUGAUAAGUGCAAUAUGCUUGGCAUUUAGAUUUUUGUGAAUAAAUUAUAAACUUUUAA